AUGCAUCCAUGGAGGGGCCAUCCCCCUCAGCCUCCUAUCGGCCAGACCUGCUUCACGACAGGGCCGCUGGACCUGGUCGCCCAAGCAGCUGCAGCGGGGAACGGGUCGGGUCCCAGUUAUGGGGCCGUGUUAAACAGUGACAGGAGGCCUCUGACUGAGGACGUGGAGAGAUGGGGGAGGAAAUGGGAGGAGGAAAAGAUAGAGGAAGAAUAUCCCGUGGACACCAGGACUCUGACACCCCUCCCCCUCAUCCACCCCGCAGGUCAGCCCAAGGCUUCCCCCUCGGUCACUCUCUUCCCACCCUCCUCUGAGGAGCUUCAAGCCAACAAGGCCACACUAGUGUGUCUGAUCAAUGACUUCUACCCGGGAGCCGUGGAAGUGGCCUGGAAGGCAGAUGGCGGCACCGUCAACACGGGAGUGGAGACCAGCACACCCUCCAAACAGAGCAACAACAAGUACGAGGCCAGUAGCUACCUGAGCCUGACGUCCGACCAGUGGAGGUCCCACAACAGCUACAGCUGCCAGGUCACGCACGAAGGGAGCACCGUGGAGAAGACAGUGGCCCGUGCAGAAUGCUCUUAGGCCCCUGACCCUUACCCCAGCCACAGGGGCCUGGAGCUGCAGGAUCCCAGGGGAGGGGUCUCUCUCCCCAUCCCAAGUCAUCCAUCCCUUCUCAAUAAAUAGCCUCAUUGUCAACCAGAAA